UGGAGGGCAAGUCUGGUGCCAGCAGCCGCGGUAAUUCCAGCUCCAAUAGCGUAUAUUAAAGUUGUUGCAGUUAAAAAGCUCGUAGUUGGAUUUCUGUUAAUAAUUUAUAUAUAAUAUUUAACAUAUUUAUAUAAUAUUAACAUAAUUCAUAUUACUAUUUAUAGUAUAUGAAACUUUACUUUGAGAAAAUUAGAGUGCUUAAAGCAGGCUUUUGCCUUGAAUACUAGAGCAUGGAAUAAUAUUAAAGAUUUUUAUCUUUCUUAUUGGUUCUAAGAUAGAAAUAAUGAUUAAUAGGGACAGUUGGGGGCAUUUGUAUUUAACAGUUAGAGGUGAAAUUCUUAGAUUUGUUAAAGACAAACUAAUGCGAAAGCAUUUGCCAAGGAUGUUUUCAUUAAUCAAGAACGAAAGUUAGGGGAUCGAAGACGAUCAGAUACCGUCGUAGUCUUAACCAUAAACUAUGCCAACUAGAGAUUGGAGGUUGUUCCUUACUCCUUC
rnacentral:rRNA from 1 species